AAGUCGUAACAAGGUUUCCGUAGGUGAACCUGCGGAAGGAUCAUUAACACGUAUCCAAACGUUAAACCCCCCUGUGAACCUUAAUCAUCGCCGAACAGUUUUCGAUUCAGGGAUGUCUGCAAGGAGCGUGCAUGUUGUGCGAGCAAGUGGCCUGGCAUCCCCAAGCAGUUAGUGUCUGAAAGUGUCAUUAACUGUGUAAGGAUGACGCAGUCACGAUCGUUGGAGGCCCACACGGCCGACGACCGGGUCACUGGGCGCAAGCCCCCCUAUAACAAACGCUGCUAAUCGCGGCCGCGAUAAUACGCAGUCGACCAAAAACCGAACAACUGUUAACAAUGGAUAUCUUGGUUCUC
rnacentral:misc_RNA from 1 species